CUGAUGAAGUUCAGCUGUUUACCUUCAGCUCUCGGUCCUCAGGUGAAGAUGUGAAACCAACAACAACAAGUAAAGAAUUGACAACAUCAGUGAAACUAACCUCAUCAGAACAGACAAUCAACAACAAUCCAUCACAUCAACAAGAUAGAAUCUCUCACACGUUUUAAAGUUUAAAUUAAAUUCUUAAAGUUAGAUGGUAUUAAUAUUAUUUCCUGACGAUUGUUGUUUCCAGAUUCUUCUCAUUUGUUGAGAUCCAUCAUUGUGUCUGUGGGUUUAGCAGCACUCUUAAUAUCUGUUGUUACAGUCAAUAUGUGGAUUAAAAAUAAAGAGAACAAGACACAGAUGGAAGAAAACACUG